rnacentral:lncRNA from 1 species
AGAUUGACAAUCAAUCCUCUCCAAGUAUCAAUUCUUAGCUUCUUGAGGUAAAUUUUGCUAAAAUCUACUCUUAAUUCCCUCCUAUACAUGCCCAUAUUAUUUGAUUUUUCAAUCUUCUUUAAUUUUUCUUAUUUAUGGUCCUACUAAGUAAGUAGAAGUCUAUUUUAUAAAAAAGUAGCAUUAUCAUCCUUUAAUUUUACUAUCUUUUCAACUAUUAUCUAUAUUUUUGAGAUAAUUUGUUAUAAUAUUUUAAAAUAAGAUCUUCUAUGAUAUAUUUUUCCCUUAUUUCUUUCAUUCAUUAGCUAUGUUACAUCACAAUAAUAUAUAAAAAAAUAAUACCACAAACUCAUCAACCAUGCUAGAUAAGGAGUAGCUCCAGCAAGACUUUAGACGAUAACCAAAUAUUACCAAUAAUUAUUUUUUUAUAUAAUUUUUAAUUAAGAAAUUUAGAAGAAAUUUUUUAGAGAGAUGAAAUGUAAGUUGAAGAAAAUGAAGUUGAAGAAGAAAAUCUAAAAUCCACAAUAUGACUCUUAAGAUUUCUUUACUU